UCGGAUAGCGCAAGUGAACUGAACUUCUGCGCUGCUGUACUGUACUAUCCCCAAUGUGGUACUUUAUUGAGAAAUUAAUUUCUUUGAUCAAAACGUGUUUUAAUAGGACACCACUGAGGGCUGUUGGAUUUGCACUUCCUCUGGUUUAUUGUAAAAGUUGAGUGAUACUCCUGGUUUCCGUGCUUCCCUUUGGCAUCAAAUGUGUGAUUUCUGAAAGCAGGUAAGCCACUGACUAACGCACAUUGCGCCUAUUUUCCAUUCCACUGUGCGUGUGACAGCGGCUAACCAGCUUUUGGAUGUGUGUCUGACUUAAGUAGCCGUGGGAAUGCCUCACUGCAUCACGUUUUGGGUCCUCUGACUUCAUAUAACUCUUUUGUUCAUCUAGCUCAACUGGUAGAGCACUGCACUACGAAUCACAAGGUUGUGGGUACGAUUCCCACUCAAACAUAGUGAUUAAAAGUAUAUGAAUGCAAUGUAAGUUGCUUUGGAUAAAGGCAUCUGCCAAAUGCAUUAAUGUAAAUGAUGAUGUCAGCCUACGUGCUGGGCGUCACAGCCAUGUGCUUCAACUGUACCAUAAAUGCUCUCAUAGUAUGUGGAAAUGAACGGAAAUGAAACCUUA